rnacentral:rRNA from 1 species
GGGUGAGUAACGCGUGGAUAACCUGCCUCACACAGGGGGACAACAGCCGGAAACGGCUGCUAAUACCGCAUAACAUGAGCAGCUCGCAUGGGCAGCUCACCAAAGAUUUUAUCGGUGUGAGAUGGAUCCGCGUCUGAUUAGCCAGUUGGCGGGGUAACGGCCCACCAAAGCGACGAUCAGUAGCCGACCUGAGAGGGUGACCGGCCACAUUGGGACUGAGACACGGCCCAAACUCCUACGGGAGGCAGCAGUGGGGAAUAUUGCACAAUGGGCGCAAGCCUGAUGCAGCGACGCCGCGUGAAGGAUGAAGUAUUUCGGUAUGUAAACUUCUAUCAGCAGGGAAGAAAAUGACGGUACCUGACUAAGAAGCCCCGGCUAACUACGUGCCAGCAGCCGCGGUAAUACGUAGGGGGCAAGCGUUAUCCGGAUUUACUGGGUGUAAAGGGAGCGUAGAUGGCAUGGCAAGUCUGAAGAGAAAGCCCGGGGCUUAACCCCGGGACUGCUUUGGAAACUGUUAAGCUAGAGUGCAGGAGAGGUAAGCGGAAUUCCUAGUGUAGCGGUGAAAUGCGUAGAUAUUAGGAGGAACACCGGUGGCGAAGGCGGCUUACUGGACUGUAACUGACAUUGAGGCUCGAAAGCGUGGGGAGCAAACAGGAUU